rnacentral:rRNA from 1 species
UACGUAGGGUGCAAGCGUUAAUCGGAAUUACUGGGCGUAAAGCGAGCGCAGACGGUUACUUAAGCAAGAUGUGAAAUCCCCGAGCUCAACUUGGGAACUGCGUUUUGAACUGGGUAGCUAGAGUGUGUCAGAGGGGGGUAGAAUUCCACGUGUAGCAGUGAAAUGCGUAGAGAUGUGGAGGAAUACCGAUGGCGAAGGCAGCCCCCUGGGAUAGCACUGACGUUCAUGCUCGAAAGCGUGGGUAGCAAACAGG